rnacentral:rRNA from 1 species
AUACGUAGGGAGCGAGCGUUGUCCGGAAUUACUGGGCGUAAAGGGCGCGUAGGCGGCGCUUCAAGUCGUCUGUCAAAUGGGAGGGCUUAACCCUUUUUCGCAGACGAAACUGGAGAGCUUGAGAAGCAGAGAGGCAAACAGAAUUCCUGGUGUAGCGGUGAAAUGCGUAGAUAUCAGGAAGAAUACCAGUGGCGAAGGCGGUUUGCUGGCUGCAUACUGACGCUGAAGCGCGAAAGCCAGGGGAGCAAACGGGAUUAGAUACCCCGGUAGUCCUGGCAGUAAACGAUGUAUGCUGGGUGUGAGACUAGCGAUAGUUUCGUGCCGAAGUUAACGCGAUAAGCAUACCGCCUGGGGAGCACGGUCGCAAGAUUGAAACUCAAAGGAAUUGACGGGG